ensembl:lncRNA
GCCCGACCCAGCUGGAGCAGCUCCCUCCCGUCCCGUCCCGCCCCAUUCCGUCCCGUCCCGUCCUGUCUCUCCCGGCCGUCCCGUCCCUGCGCUCAGCACCGCUCCCCGGCGCGUCGGGACCCCCGCAAUUAGCGGCACUCCCGAAGCGCUCAGCCCGGGUGUCCGCGAGUCGCUCCCACCGGAGCAGUCUGGGCCCGUGGGAAGGGCGGAAAGGCUGUCAUAGACACCCUUCUGUACCUCUCCCCUUAGCAGAACCCCGUGUCACAGUAUGGUCCAUCACAUUUUAUUGCUGAGACAUCGGCAUCACAGGACAGACCCGAGUAACACAUGCACGCAUUUAUUCUGUUUGCAGGCAUCGAGAUUUUUGUUACACAAAUAGGAAUAAUUCCCAGCGCUCAUUGUUCUGCGGCUCAAAGUGGCCACAAAGCCUUUGUAGGGCGGCAGGUCGGCACCUCCCGGUACCAGAGCCGCCCUCCCGAGCAUCGUUAACGCGGCGGUCCGUUCCCUGCGCCCGUCGGAGCGCACGGGGCCGCGCAGCCCCAGGACAGCACCUUGAGCCCCUCCCGCCCGGCCGGGGAUCGCCUCAGCCCACACCGAGAGGCGGCGAUGAAACCGGUGUCCGUCAUGUCGCCUGUUCGCUUCAAAAAGGGCACAUCCUGACCUCGCUUCCCCACGUGGAAGGUUGUCUCCAACCUUUACACAGAUGCGUCUGAACGCACAGAAACAUGCGUUUUUUCCCCUUCCAGCCCGGCUUUAUUCUCUCUAUUUUCUACUUUCUCCCCUUUGGCCAAAAGGAAGCUCCCCGGGUGUCUGCGAGUGCAUGCGAAGGGACAGUAACCCCGCAGCACUCCCGAGCCACACCGGGAACCCCCCGCAUCACUUCACUCCCCCAAAAAACUGUUGAUCUCCUCCAAGUGAGAGGCUGAACCUUUCCAUUUAGGGUUCAUGGCUGCGUCGCUCCCUUCCUCCUAUCCCGUCCUUUUUCCCGAAUUCCCAGUUUGGGAUUGCCGGGGCUCCCCGAGCUGCCCCGGGGCUCAGGCAGGGGCAAAGCGGGAGUCGGGACGGUUAUGUUUGGUGUCAGGCAGGGCAGGAGGCAGCGACACCGCUUCUCAGCCAACUGGACGAGGAUGGGAUCUAUUAUUAUUAUUAGUAGUAUUAUUAUUAUUAUUGUUAUUGUUGUUAUUGCUAUUAUUAUUGUUGCUAUUACUAUUGCUGCUGUUAUUUACCAUUAUAGCUUGUUAUAAUUUAUUACGAUGAUAUGCGAUUUGAAAUCAUCCAUUUGCAACUUGCAAAGCACCACUACAUUCACCUUAAACCUGCUUUCUGUCCCAGCCAAUGGUGGCAGGGGCCGGCUAGCCUGUCCCCCCGGAGCAUUAACCCUUGUCGCGAGCUGCAGAGAGAGAGGAGCUGAGCUUUGGCCCCGAGGAGCUGUGUGCAUGGAUCUGGCACAGCUUUGCUCCUUUCACUCCUGGACCUUUGUUUUGGUGGCGAGCGGGGAGAGCAGGGAGCGCUGUGCUCGCGUUUCCCUCCGGCUUACGCACACACACACACACACACACACACACAUACACACACACACACACACACACACACACACACACAAAUCCCCUUUCCAACUUUCUGCCUUUUGCGCUUCCCUCCCAGUUUUUCACUUCUCAGACCUACUGGCAGCAUUUGCCGAGAUCUAGAUCCCCGCCGUGGCUGAUAAAUGAACAGGUAAACAAACUAUACAGGCUAUGAUUACUUUCGAGGAAAUCUACUUUAGAACAUAUUGAUUAAAGGAAAUAUGGCUUCUGAAAAUAAGAUCACCUGGAGGAUUUUGCAGCUCUUCACACUAUACAGCAAUGGGCAGUGUAAAAGCAGCACUUUCUUUAAAUCUUUAAUACUUUCCUUUAAAAAACAAAAACGAAAAACACGGCAUUUGGAGGUACAUGUAAAGGAAGAGAUGACUGCCAUGACCUGAGACCUGAAUGUUGCUUAGAUUUGUACAAAUUGAUGGAUUUAAUUCUACUUGGACUCUUGUUAAGAUAUAGUAACACACAGUGGGUUAGAUUUUGAUUUUUUUUUUCCUUCCAAGUUAACACCAGUGUAAAUAGGAAACAUGCACUGCAAGUGAACAAAAUUGGAGGGGGUGGGGGGGGUGUUUCUAUAGAAUCCAAAUGUGGAUAUAAGCAGCCACAGAUCCAUUAUCUGAAGUGGUUAUGUCAUCUUACACCAGCAGAAAACUGAGCCCACUAUAUUUGAUUCCUAAAUCUCACCUUAUAUCAGAUGUUUAAAGGUUCAGAUGGAUAAGAUAUGUCUCUGUACAGUGUGCUUUAAAUUAAAAGCUAGUGAAAAACACAUCUCUUGAUUUCUGGAUGACAGUCUUGGAAAAUGUUUCAACUGGUAGCUGCCCUUGUCCUGUUUUACUCCACCCUCAUCAAGGAAACCAGUAUCCAGCAAUGUAGGAGCUGAUAUUCUCAACAAAAACAAUAACCUCUCUUCUGUUCAUCUUCCUUGCUCUGUUUUGGUUACUGAGAGGUGGCCUUGAAAGGGCAGCAUGUUUAAGGCAGAAAUAUUUCUUGAGGCUAUGGGGAGGAUGUUCUCUUGUUUGAAGGAAACCAAGGCUUCCAACUGAUUUUAAUUUUAUUUUUAAUGUUCAUGGGAACCAGUCUUACAUGCCUGGCUGAAUUCAGACUUUGGAUUUUUGGCAGGUUUUUAUUUGAGCCCAGCUUGGCUGUUUUUCAAAAUGUCCAGAUUGCUCACAUUAAAUCUGAAUAAGCACUACCCACUAGUUUAAUCAGAGUCAUCUGGUACACCUCUAAUUAGUGUUAGUUAAAGUUGAAGUUCAUGAUAACAAAAUGUGUUAAAACAUAACACACAAAACUUAGUAAAAUCCUGAACAGAAAUAGGUAGGAGGCAAAAUCUUGUGCAAUUAUACCCCCCAAAAAUUAGAAUAUACAAGUUAUGAUGACAAUAACACAAUGGUGAAGAAAAAAAGUAAGACCAAGUUUCUGACAAAUGUCAUGAAAGCUAGUCUUUAUCUGUUUUGUCCAUUAAAGCAUGCGCAUGUAUUGUAUAUAGGUGUGGAUUCGAAUCGUGAAUGAGCUUUAAUUGCUGGUCCUCAUGACCUAACAACUGGUUGUAGUUGUACACUGUGCAUGAAUUGUAAAAAACUUGUACACAUCUGUGUGUAUUUCAGAAAAUUAUCAAAUAAACAGGUGAUGUUUUUGUUGCAUCUUCAUAUGAAGUAUUUUCUUGUCUUAACAUGUUUGUGAUAAAUUAUAGGCAAACACAGUAUUAUCAUCUUUGUUUGAAAUCAAUGUAGGUUUGCCUGGGUCAGGAACAGUUAGUGCCUUACUGUGAAUUGUGAAACAAUAAAGAUUGACAGUUGUUAAAAUUGCAGAGUUAUUGGCUGCAAGAGAUCAAAAACCUGUAAAGAUCGAAACUGUGUGUGUUACAAUAGGUGCCUAUAAGGUGCUUGUUUACCUUUAAUUCUUCCCUGAAUUAUUGCCUUAGAAGAGAAUGCUUUAUUAUGUUGCAGCAUAGGCCAAUUAAAAUGGCAAAUCCCACAAUUGGAUCUCUAUAUUAACAUAUUCCUCAAAUUAAGACUUGGGGUUUUGAUUUUUCAGGUGUCAUUUCUAAAUCCUUGCAAAGUGGUGAAACACACUUGUACGUGUUACAAAGAAGCUAUGCUUUUUACAUAUAUUAUGUAAUAGUAGCGCAACAAAGCAUUUAAAUGUUUACUUGGAUUUGCUUCUUACCUGAAAUUUCUUUUUUUCUCAGGUCUGUUUCAAUUCAUAUUCUGGACAUAGAAAUGAUAUUUCUUUCUAUUUUUUUUUCUGGACACAUUUCAGCUUCACUACUCAAGGACUGAAUGGAUCAUGAUUACAGAGUUUUUUUAAGGGCAUCUGUUCUCAGCCACAGCUGAGGAUGGGGCCCAUGGAGCUGACUGGAAGGAUCCACCUAGAAUUUGUUGAAUUAAGUCCUUGCACCUGGAUAUAAUUGUCAUGCUGCUGUGCUGGGGUUUUCUUAAGCUACUGGUAAAACAAAUUAGCUCAAUUUAAACUGGCAUCCAGUAGGGAAGCAACAACUCACCUCAUAUAAUAUUUUUCAAAUAAUUAUUUUUCUAUUGCCAGUUUUGCUUCAUGAAUGUUUUCCAAAAGGCAGGGUGAAUUGUUGGGAAAUUUUUUUUUAAGUUAAGCACAAGACACAACAAAAAACAUUCUAUUCUGCAUAUCUGCUGAGUUGCAACUAAUAUUAGAGUACUGUGCACUUAAUAAUUGUAUGUGACUGUCUUAAAUAUAAAAGCCACAAACAUAAAUGAAGGUAACUAUAGAUACAACAGGCCACAAAUACAAUAUAACAACCCUCCCCCACCCUUUCCCAAACAAUUUUCAGUGCAUAUACUUCAUACUCCUUUUGCCAGAUUUAGCACUGUAAUGAUAUAACUGCUUUUACAUUUGGGAAAAAUUCAUGGAAGUUUUUUUGGUUGAACAGUAGACAAAGGUAUUCAUUUAUGUCUGACACGGGAAUUCGUAUAAAUACCAUGGGAUCUCAUUUCCUUUUAUAGUUUAGAGCCUUUAAACUUGACAACAAAAUUCAUAAGCUUCCUGGAAGGUCCACAAAGGCUCCUUGCCUCGGCUGCACUCGCAGUGGCAGUACUUUGCUUGAAUCCCUGGAAUGUGUGCAUCUGUGUUAGCUUCAGCUUCCCUUAAUAUCCUCCAAAUGUAGACUCCAGUGGAAAAGGAUGAAAAAUCAUUUAUUCAGCUGAGUGCUUCAGAGUGACUUCUGAAAUGGAAGAUGCAGCACUCUCUAUCAGCUUUCUACAUAGCACUGUUGUAUUUUAUUCUAUGAUUCCAUUUGGAUGGAGCCCUGGGCAAUCUGGUCUAGUACCAGAUCUGAAGGUUGGUGGCCUUGUCUGUGGUGGGGGAUUGUACCUGAUGAUCCUUAGGGUCCUUACCAACCCAAGCCAUUGUAUGAUGUUAUUAGGAAGUGAUGUGCUAAUCUGGAGAGGAGAGGGAACGUGUUCACUAACUGUGGGUGGGAGCUGCUGAUAUGUCUCUCAAACUAUCCUGGUGGAGUUACUUCAGCUGCUGUCCUUGUGAGCGGGUUACGUCACUUGAUUUGCCUUCUAAGAUGCAGCACAACUGGUUAAAAAAUAACCAUUGAAUUAUAUAUCAGACGGUAGCUACUUAUUAUAUUUUAAACAAGUUUCAAAAUAUUUUGUGAGAUCAAGAAUAUAUUUUAUUUUAAUAAGUGGACUACUGAUCACCUUACAGAUUCUGGCAGAAAUAUGGAUGUUCAUAUUAUCAUAAACCAUUUUCUAAGCCAUGCUCUAUUUAAUAUUGGGUAGGCUGAAAUGCCACGGGAAUGCGAAUUAGGAGAGCAGUGCUUUUUGAAGGGUGGCAAAAUACCCAGAGAUCAAAAGUUAAAUGUGAAGUUGCUGUCAGUCCUUCAGCUGUGCAGUGAAUUUCAAAUUUUGGAAAGUAUGUGUGCAGUAGCUCCAGUAACUAGCUGAAUUGCAGCGGAUGUGGCACUGGGACCCAUAGGGAAGUGCUGGAUGCAUGGGACAGUGCGGGCUGGUGCAUGAAAUAACCCUGCCCGAAUCAUCAUCGUCUGCUUUCUGUGGAGGAGGCCACCAGAGCUGCCGAGCCCUGACUCGCUCUGCACACCCAGCGAGAAGUUCUGCUUUCAACUGUGAAUCUGAACUGCCCUGAAUCAAUGUGUAUGGGAAUGGGCAAGUUGCUUUCAUACAAUAUUCCUUUUUAUAAGCUCAUUUUUCUUGAGCUUCAGGGGAAAUAAAAAAUGUCAGUUUUCCCUCCAAGUUGUGUGAGCGCCGUGGCAGGCUGAGAGGCUGCCUCACCCCUCCCUGUGCUCCCUCUCCUGUCUGGGGUUCCAAGGAGGAGAAGGCAAAGCAAACUGAGCUCAAGGUCCUUCUUAUCCUUAUGUGACGAUAAUCCUAGGCCAGCACUUAGAGAGAAGCUUCCAGUGGGAAAUUAAGCUAAACUGAAAAGCAUAACAAAACCCAAAUCAUCUAGACUGCAAAAAUUCCUCCAGUGUUUCGUUCUUUAAUGCUUAUUAAUAGAGACAAUGCUAAACCCAAAAGGAAGCCAGCAAUAUCCUGUUCUUUUUUUUUUUUUUUGAUAUAACAUGGAUUUUUGUUUAGUAAACUCCAUGUCAGAUCUUCUAAUUUAAUUACUGAACUCACAAUGUGGAUAAACGCACAGACAUGACUAAUAGUAUUCUCUUAUAAUUUCAUUACAGGGUAAUAGAUGUGCGGUUUAUAAAACAGAUUUUUUUUCCUCUGCUACAGAGUGUUUAUAAUAUAAAUGAACUCUCACAUCCUGCUUUCUUUCUCUCCUUACUCUCUUUUCAUUUCUUUUUAGAUUUGAUUCAUAGAAAAAUGCAAGUGAUGCGUGCCACUGAUUUGGGUCAUCUGCACGCAAUUCAAAAGGAAAAGGUGAUUUUUUUCAUUGCCUGCCAAGUAAGUGGGAGAGGUGUAGGAAAAAGUGGAUUUAUGCAUAAAAUGCAAAACUCCAGAUGAAAGAACGGACCUCUUUUAUCAUCGUAGAAAGAAUCCAUCUGCAAUAAUUACCAGUCAGGCUAUCUGCACCCUAUGUUACUUCGUGACAUCUGAGAACUGCUGCGCUCCUUGAACCAAUAGCCGUUAUAUAGCAACCAGCAUCACUCCUGAAUGAAAAAAUUGGCCCAACCACUGGUGAAUGGCACUCAGUAGGUUUCCCAUUGAACUGUGCUGCGAAACAAUGAUGCACAUUGGUAAAUCACUGUGUGUGCCUUUCAGUUCUUAUGCAUAUCCCGUACUGGACAGCUUCCAUUCACUCCGGCACCCACUGCAAACAAAUGUAACUAUGCAUCAAAGAUGAAAGUGAAAAUGCGUAUGUUAAAUCCCAAAUGGAAGCACAAGGGUGUAAUAUAUACAUAGUUGCUUAGCAACAAACAUGUUUUGGCCACAGGAACUGUGACAUCAGUCAGAGAAGCGGGAGGGAAGCUGCUCUGCCCUUCUUCUCUGCUUCCCUUCAUAAAGGUCUUUCCUUAUUUCUUUUAAAGCAGAAGAUAGAGGGCUAUUGUGGAUGUUUGUUUGCACUAUUAACGCACCAUUUGGACUUUUCUUUGGGGAGGGAAACCUGCUUUUGCUCUGAGGAUCUGUCGCAAUGGAGCGCGCCCUCCCUCAGCCAGGUGUUCUGGUCCCGGCUUUGUGGCUCUCCGUGGGCUCCAUUUUAGCUGAAAUGCUCACUUAGGAGAAAUGAAGCGCUAAGGCCGAAAAUACAAAAUGUAGGAAUUCAACAACUAUUUUUUGGUGUCACUCACUCUGUGUCACGCCUUUCUCUUCAGCUGCUAGAAGCUCUCUACUGAUAUUUCACAUUUUUUUAGCUCUAUAUUUUUUUCAUAACAGAAAACAGCAUUUAUUUCAGUAAAUCACACAGUACCUAUGACCAGCUGAUAGACAUUCAUCAACUGCACUGAUUUUACAGAUGGUCAGAAUCUCUCUUCCCUCCUUUACUACUUUCUCCUCUUCCCUGCAUGCUAUGGGGAGCAGAGGAGAGGACUGGUCAGUGUCAGCUCAAGGUACACACUGCCCAGUGCCACCUGCUGCCACUGACAUCAACCAAAGUUCUCUACAUAGCCAAUGUGCCUCAUGCUUUCAGAAGUCUGCUUGCUUCACUGGACCACAGCAUCUUCCACAUGUAGAAAUAUUGCACAUUCAGGUUCAAAUCGAUCUGCCAGCCUGGAUUGCUGUAGACAUAUCCCCGAAUACAUUACUUUAGAGUGUUUCCUUUUAAUUUAAGGUAAUGAAUGUACUUUGGCGGAUCCCCAGUGGGGGGAAAAGAACAUUUCUGGCAUGCACUUCUCUUUGCAAAGAAGGCUUUCUUGACAGUGUGAGAGACAUGUAGGAAUGCAAGAUGUAUUGAAGAACUCAAAUGAAAUUAAAAUUGUGGAUGAAAGCAGGGUUAAAGAAGCAUUAGGGUUAAAAUAAGGCCUUGAUUUUCACUCAUGGAGCUAUUAUGUAGAUAGUGUUUUACUUGCUUUCAUUUUCUGUGAAUUCACACAGACUCUUUUUUAUAUGAUAGCACAAAUCAAAUUGACAAGGUUUAACUGAUAACCUCUUGCACUUACCAUCAGAUUAAUUUUGGGAAAGAAAAUGGGUCAUUCUGAAAAUAGUGAAGAAUCUGAUAUAAGGUAUGGUGGUGUCUCUGAGGUCAAUAGAGAAGUGUGCAUCAAAACACAAGGUAAGACAAAAAGGUUAUAUGAUGAAAGGAUGGAAAACUGGAAAAAAGUAUAAUAUUGAUUCUAUCUGAAAUGAAGAACCAAGCAAAUGACCCAGGAUCUGGAUGGGGUGGUGUUCUGAAUAAGGCAUCAUUGUGGAUUGCGGAUUCUUGUCUACAUUUCCUCUCUGUGACUUAAAUCAGUUAUCCCAGAAUUUUUUUGCAGCCUGAAUGGAGUACUGUGUAGCCUGACCCUAUGGAAACCAAAUUAACAUCUGGAUUUGAAGUACAUGGCUGACUCUUCAGAAAUACAAUACAUGAAACUGGGAUCCCAUAUCUGAGAGUGGUUGGCAGCUUGAGCGACGAACUGAGAUUUGUUGGCUGGGGAUCAACCCAAGAAAUUCCACCAAUAUGCUACUGUGCUGUUUCCCCUGUAAACUCUUCUUUUUUUUUAAUUUGUGAAACAAAUGACUAUAUCAGCUGAAAGGAUAAUUAAACUAACAACCAAAAUAAAUGCUUUAAGGGCCUGUCAGAUUGCCAGUAUUUUAAAUGUGAAUAAUCAAAAAUUUUAAUGGUAAUUGCUCUCACUGAGUGAAGCAGGAUUUUACAAUUCACAUUAGUUACUGAACUAUUUCCAAAUGUACACAGUUUAUCUCUGUGAUCCUAUUCUUUCAACAUAGGUUCAACCAUUUGUCAAGCAUUGGCUUUCUGAGCAGUGUAAGUUACAAUUUUAGUAAUGAAAUCAUUGUCUUCUCCUACCAUGUAGAUGGACAGGUAGUUUCUUUUUGGGAGGGUAGACAUAGCUUAAUGUUAAGCAAAGAUUAUGCAUGUACUCAUGCUUUCAGCAGUUGUGAAGCUCCAAACAAAUACAAAAUCUUUUAAAAUACCUCGAAGGUUACUGUUAAAUUUGGCUCCUAUUUUAUUCUGCCAUGGAGUACUCUGAAAGGUGGAAUAGAAACAGGAGGAAUACAGUGCUGGAAAUCACAUGAAGAUUCAAGUCACAUCAUCCCUGACAAAAUUCACAUAAUGAGGAGCAAAGUUGGAGCUAGAACUCAAGCUGAUGCUUUAAUUUUUUUUGUUGUUGUUGUUUGCCUUUGACCACAUCACCAGCUUCCCUUAGUUCAUUCCCUUUUUUCUUUGAUAGAUAGUUCUGUUCAUGGCUGCAGUCACUGCCUUGAACAAGGACUCUUUUCAAGAUUCAUCAUCUUUUCUGUGUUCUUGAUUUCAAACACUGACCCUUUUGCUUGUAGAGAAAAGCUGUGUUUUUGAUGGAAAAGAAGUCAGCACCUAUUUGCAAAAUUAAAGGUGGAAAAGAGCAAUGCAAAUUCUAAGCUGUGCACAAUGAUCUCUAGUUAUCUGUUAACCAUCUUUUAGACUGAGUGUCACUUCUGCCCCACUUCAUUGUAUUUGUUUUUGUGUCUGAAACAGCCUCUAUCACAAAAGUCAGUAGUCAUAGUCUUGACAAAACCUAACAGAAAAUGGAUGCUUUCUUGGCUGGAAAACCAUUCAUGGAAACAGUUCAAAUAGAAAUCUGCACCAGGCAGGGAGACUGGUGUCUCACUGCUUAAUGUUGGUAGUGUCCUGCAUGAGAAUAACAACAAUGCUAGCUACAUCCAGGGAAAGCUACAGGUGGAACUGGAAAUCAGACAGGAGAAGUGACUGAAAUAUGUAAUUCAACAGGUGGAGAAAGAAGUAGGUACUUACUAUAUAUACAGGAGAAAUCUGCUGCAGAAUUGCUGGAGCAAAAGCAACAUAUUUAGUUCUAAAAAAAAAAAAAGGGUGGAGAAGUUUAUAGACUCAACCUUUACUCCAAUGAAAGGAUGUUGUGAAAAAGACAAAUGUAUUACUGAGAUUUUAAUUUUUUUUAAAUUUUAUUUUAAAAUAAAGAUAUCCUAGAAGGCAGCUAUAGGUUUUUUUUGUAACUUGCUUAGCAUGAUCAAACAUAUGGGAUUACUUUCCAGAAAGGAUGUGGAGCAAUGGAGUAGAUUGAACUAAGCAGUCAGAAUGGCUGACAAGGAAACCAGAAGAACCAGGGCUGUUUAGGGCAUACAAAGAGGGAACAUAAUGGUUUUCAAAUAUGUACGAAUUUACCACAGAGAAGAAAGUAAUGAAUUGUUUAACACUUUUUCUCUGCAUUGUGCGAAAAUAUAGACUUGAAGAACUCUAAAAGAAAUCUAGGCUAGCUGUUACAAAAAGUCACGAUUAAGGAACAGAUCAGAUUGCACAGUGAAAAAGGUGUGUGUUUUCACUGGUGAAAGACUAUAAAAACAAGUUAAAUAAACAUCUGUCAAAAAUAGCAUAGCUAUAGUUGAUUUUUGACCUCCUAAAAUCUUUUUCAGCUCUGCUUUCUGUUAUUUUCUCCAAGUGGAUUCUGCUGCUUGGAUGUUUGUUGGUAAAGCCAGCAAUCAAAAUAAUAAUGUAGAAGCAGAGCCCUGUAAACACAGAGGCUCUGGUAUGGUUUCUAGUCAUGUCAUUUACCCUCUAGUGGAAAGUGCCAAGAUAUGUGCUUUGGAAGACUCGUAGGGCACAUAGCUGCAUGUCAGCCUAUUUCAAUUAGUGUGUUGAAAUGGCGGAUUACACAUCUCUAUAAAAAUUAAAUUGGUCUCAUCUCUGAAAUUACAACAAGCCUGAGGAUCCAAUCAGAAAAUCAAUUCUUGAGCACCUCAGUUUCAGGGAGGACUGAAAGGCGUUGUACCACUGUUUCUGUGCCCCACUGCUGAUUCUGGCCCCCACUCUCACGAUACCAAGCACCACAGACAAAAGAAAGCAUUACAGACAGCAAUCUCCAACACAUGUGUUAAGGGAGCUGUAAUGCCAGGGCCUGAACUGAUGAUUGAGCACCUGGUGAAGGGGCGGGCCAGCCCAGGAAGCACAGGUGCAAGCAAUUCACCCAUGCCUCCCAUGUGACCAGAAGAGGUAGGCCCAGGGCCCAUACCCACCUGAGCUCAUUUAAGGGCUAGCCUCUGAGAGAGGGUGCACGUCUCCUGGAUGAAUGCUGCUUUCUAAGGAGUGCUUUGUAGCUAUAGAUGGGAUCAUCAGUUGGAAGCUGUUGUGAGGAUUCUUUAACUGUGAGACUUCCAUGGUGGCCCCAGUGCUGCAGUACAUCUGGCUGAAAAGAUUUCCUGUAUUUUCCUAAAAGGAUGCUGUUAUUGUUCCUGUUGCCCUGGCCAUUUCCAAGAGCCUUUCAAAUGAACCCUGGUCCCGCAUGAGUGUGGCAAGGCAGACACUUAAAAGAUGACAGGAAACAUUAAAAUCAAAGCUUGGUGUUGCAGGUAUUCAUAGUCACCGGACUAUGGGAAUCUUUUAGUGCCCUUAAUCCACACUCACCAUGCACUUG